rnacentral:rRNA from 1 species
UACGGGGGGAGCAAGCGUUGUUCGGAUUUACUGGGCGUAAAGGGCGCGUAGGCGGUCGUGACAAGUCACUUGUGAAAUCUCCGGGCUUAAACUCGGAACGGUCAAGUGAUACUGUCGGACUAGAGUACAGAAGGGGCAACUGGAAUUCUCGGUGUAGCGGUGAAAUGCGUAGAUAUCGAGAGGAACACCUGCGGCGAAGGCGGGUUGCUGGGCUGAUACUGACGCUGAGGCGCGAAAGCCAGGGGAGCGAACGGG